GACGAACGCUGGCGGCGUGCUUAACACAUGCAAGUCGAACGGAAAGGCCCUGCUUUUGUGGGGUGCUCGAGUGGCGAACGGGUGAGUAACACGUGAGUAACCUGCCCUUGACUUUGGGAUAACUUCAGGAAACUGGGGCUAAUACCGGAUAGGAGCUCCUGCUGCAUGGUGGGGGUUGGAAAGUUUCGGCGGUUGGGGAUGGACUCGCGGCUUAUCAGCUUGUUGGUGGGGUAGUGGCUUACCAAGGCUUUGACGGGUAGCCGGCCUGAGAGGGUGACCGGCCACAUGGGGACUGGGGUACGGCCCAGACUCCUACGGGAGGCAGCAGGGGGGAUUAUUGCAGAAUGGGCGGAAGCCUGAUGCAGCAACGCCGCGUGCGGGAUGACGGCCUUCGGGUUGUAAACCGCUUUCGCCGGUGACGAGGCGUGAGUGACGGUAAUGGGUAAAGAAGCACCGGCUAACUACGUA
rnacentral:rRNA from 1 species